UGUUCUAAAUCACUGACUGAAGCCAAUCU
rnacentral:piRNA from 1 species